rnacentral:tRNA from 1 species
GCCGAGGUAGCUCAGUCGGUAGAGCAGGGGACUGAAAAUCCUCGUGUCA